GGAUUAGUGGCGAACGGGUGAGUAACACGUGAGUAACCUGCCCUUGACUCUGGGAUAAGCCUGGGAAACUGGGUCUAAUACCGGAUAUGACUGACCGUCGCAUGGUGGUUGGUGGAAAGCUUUUGUGGUUUUGGAUGGACUCGCGGCCUAUCAGCUUGUUGGUGGGGUAAUGGCCUACCAAGGCGACGACGGGUAGCCGGCCUGAGAGGGUGACCGGCCACACUGGGACUGAGACACGGCCCAGACUCCUACGGGAGGCAGCAGUGGGGAAUAUUGCACAAUGGGCGCAAGCCUGAUGCAGCGACGCCGCGUGAGGGAUGACGGCCUUCGGGUUGUAAACCUCUUUCAGUAGGGAAGAAGCUUUCGGGUGACGGUACCUGCAGAAGAAGCGCCGGGCUAACUACGUGCCAGCAGCCGCGGUAAUACGUAGGGCGCAAGCGUUAUCCGGGAAUUAUUGGGCGUAAAGAGCUCGUAGGCGGUUUGUCGCGUCUGCCGUGAAAGUCCGGGGCUCAACUCCGGAUCUGCGGUGGGUACGGGCAGACUAGAGUGAUGUAGGGGAGACUGGAAUUCCUGGUGUAGCGGUGAAAUGCGCAGAUAUCAGGAGGAACACCGAUGGCGAAGGCAGGUCUCUGGGCAUUAACUGACGCUGAGGAGCGAAAGCAUGNGGAGCGAACAGGAUUAGAUACCCUGGUAGUCCAUGCCGUAAACGUUGGGCACUAGGUGUGGGGGACAUUCCACGUUUUCCGCGCCGUAGCUAACGCAUUAAGUGCCCCGCCUGGGGAGUACGGCCGCAAGGCUAAAACUCAAAGGAAUUGACGGGGGCCCGCACAAGCGGCGGAGCAUGCGGAUUAAUUCGAUGCAACGCGAAGAACCUUACCAAGGCUUGACAUGAACCAGACCGGGCUGGAAACAGUUCUUCCCUUUUGGGGUUGGUUUACAGGUGGUGCAUGGUUGUCGUCAGCUCGUGUCGUGAGAUGUUGGGUUAAGUCCCGCAACGAGCGCAACCCUCGUUCCAUGUUGCCAGCGGGUAGUGCCGGGGACUCAUGGGAGACUGCCGGGGUCAACUCGGAGGAAGGUGGGGACGACGUCAAAUCAUCAUGCCCCUUAUGUCUUGGGCUUCACGCAUGCUACAAUGGCCGGUACAAAGGGUUGCGAUACUGUGAGGUGGAGCUAAUCCCAAAAAGCCGGUCUCAGUUCGGAUUGGGGUCUGCAACUCGACCCCAUGAAGUCGGAGUCGCUAGUAAUCGCAGAUCAGCAACGCUGCGGUGAAUACGUUCCCGGGCCUUGUACACACCGCCCGUCAAGUCACGAAAGUUGGUAACACCCGAAGCCGGUGGC
rnacentral:rRNA from 1 species